CUGCGCCCCGGAUGAAACGGCAUGUUUGAGCUCUUUUUAUUUUUUUUGCGGAGGAAAGCGUGGGAAAAAAUAAAAAAGCGAGUAGUGAAAGCCGGAAAUGGC
rnacentral:misc_RNA from 1 species